AAGUCGUAACAAGGUCUCCGUAGGUGAACCUGCGGAGGGAUCAUUACACAACAAAAUAUGAAGGCCCUGGCUUCGCGGCCGGCUGAAAUAUUUUUUCACCCAUGUCUUUUGCGCACUUGUUAUUUCCUGGGCGGGUUUGCCCGCCACCAGGACCAAACCAUAAACCUUUUUUUUUAUGCAGUUACCAUCAGCGUCAGUAAAAACAAUGUAAUUAAUUACAACUUUCAACAACGGAUCUCUUGGUUCUG
rnacentral:misc_RNA from 1 species